rnacentral:rRNA from 1 species
GGAUAACCUGCCCUUGGGUCCGGCAUAACCCCGGGAAACUGGGGAUAAUACCGGAUAACGCAUAUAUGCUGGAAUUCUCUAUGCGUGAAAUGGAUUCGUCUGCCCAAGGAUGGGUCUGCGGCCUAUCAGGUAGUAGUGGGUGUAAUGUACCUACUAGCCGACGACGGGUACGGGUUGUGAGAGCAAGAGCCCGGAGAUGGAUUCUGAGACAUGAAUCCAGGCCCUACGGGGCGCAGCAGGCGCGAAAACUUUACAAUGCGGGAAACCGUGAUAAGGGGACACCGAGUGCCAGCAUCAUAUGCUGGCUGUCCGGGUGUGUAAAAUACACCUGUUAGCAAGGGCCGGGCAAGACCGGUGCCAGCCGCCGCGGUAACACCGGCGGCCCGAGUGGUGAUCGUGAUUAUUGGGUCUAAAGGGUCCGUAGCCGGUUUGGUCAGUCCUCCGGGAAAUCUGACGGCUUAACCGUUAGGCUUUCGGGGGAUACUGCCAGACUUGGAACCGGGAGAGGUAAGAGGUACUACAGGGGUAGGAGUGAAAUCUUGUAAUCCCUGUGGGACCACCUGUGGCGAAGGCGUCUUACCAGAACGGGUUCGACGGUGAGGGACGAAAGCUGGGGGCACGAACCGGAUUAGAUACCCGGGUAGUCCCAGCCGUAAACGAUGCUCGCUAGGUGUCAGGCAUGGCGCGACCGUGUCUGGUGCCGCAGGGAAGCCGUGAAGCGAGCCACCUGGGAAGUACGGCCGCAAGGCUGAAACU